rnacentral:rRNA from 1 species
CCUGGAUGCAGCGACGCCGCGUGGAGUGGAAGAAGUAUUUCGGUAUGUAAAGCUCUAUCAGCAGGGAAGAAAAUGACGGUACCUGGACUAAGAAGCCCCGGCUAACUACGCUGCCCGCAGCCGCGGUAAU